rnacentral:rRNA from 1 species
ACCGAAAACCGACACAGGUGGGCGAGGCGAGAAGCCUAAGGUGAACGAGUGAAUCCUCGUUAAGGAACUCGGCAAAACAACGUGUCGUAAGUUCGCAAUAUGACCUGCCGGCUGGAGGCCGGCAUACACUAAGAAAACUAAUAUUCACUAAUUAAACUAAAUAUUUUUUGUUUGCUCUUUAGUAAAUAUUUGUUUAUUUCGUGUUUUUAUUAGUUAAUUUAGUGUAUGCCAGCUGAAAGCUGGCCGCAGCUAAAGACCCCAGGCGACUGUUUAUCAAAAACACAGGUCCCUGCAAACUCGUAAGAGGAAGUAUAGGGGCUGACGCUUGACCAGUGCUGGAACGUAAAACAUGCCAGUUCAGCCGCACUUCAUUGCAUUUGUGCGAAUUAUGAAUUAUGAAUUUCGAAUUUUGAAUGAAUUUUUAAUGAUUUAAUUUAGAAAUUAAGUCAUUGAUUCAAAAUUCAAAAUUAGAAUUUAAAAAUUCCGCACGAGCGUAGCGAUGUGCGGUUGAGCCGAGCGUGCUAAGCGCCAGUGAACGUCCGCGGUAACUAUAACCGUGUUAAAGUAGCGAAAUUCCUUGUCAGGUAAGUUCUGACGCGCAUGAAAAGCGUAACGACUUGGGGACUGUCUCAACGAGGAGCUCGGUGAAAAUGCAAUUCCGGUAAAGAUGCCGGGUACCUGCAGCUAGACGAAAAGACCCCGGAAGCUUUACUGCAGCUUGGUAUUGUGUCUUUCGUUUGAAUGCGUAGCGUAGUGGGGAGGAUUUGAAGUUCUGGUUUCGGCCAGGACGGAUCCGCCAAUGAAACACCCACCUUUUAGACGAUUUUCACUAACCUUUGCCACUAAAGAAUGACAUAAUUUUUAAAUUGUGUUUUUCUUCGGUGGCAAGAGGACAGUGCCUGGUGGGCAGUUUAAGUGGGGCGCUUGCCUCCAAAAGAGUAACGGAGGCGUUUAUCAAGGUUGGCUUGGGCCGGAUGGAAAUCGGCCUGGACGCGUAAAGGCAUAUGCCAGCUUUACUGCAAGACUGACAGGUCGCGCAGUCGCGAAAGCGGAACUUAGUGAACCGACCGCAAUGUCCUGUCUAUGACAGGAUACACUAAUAAAACUAAUAUUUACGAAUUUAUAUUGGUUUUACUUCGUGUUUCCCGCCAUAGGCGGGACGCUUCGUAGGAAGGCGGAAGAUCAU